rnacentral:misc_RNA from 1 species
GAUGAAGAACGCAGCGAAAUGCGAUACGUAGUGUGAAUUGCAGAAUUCAGUGAAUCAUCGAAUCUUUGAACGCACAUUGCACCUCUCGGUAUUCCGGGAGGUAUGCCUGUUCGAGCGUCAUUUGUACCCUCAAGCUCUGCUUGGUGUUGGGUGUUUGUUCCGCCUCUGUGUGUGAACUCGCCUCAAAACAAUUGGCAGCCGGUGUACAUGUUUCGGAGCGCAGCACAUUUUGCGAUCCAGAUCAACGUACAGCGGCAUCCAAGAAGCCUUAUUUAACGCUCUUGACCUCGGAUCAGUUAGGGAUACCCGCUGAACUUAAGCAUAUCAAUAAGCGGAGGA